rnacentral:rRNA from 1 species
GACGAACGCUGGCGGCGUGCUUAACACAUGCAAGUCGAACGGAAAGGCCCUGCUUUUGUGGGGUGCUCGAGCGGCGAACGGGUGAGUAACACGUGAGUAACCUGCCCUUGACUUUGGGAUAACUUCAGGAAACUGUGGCUAAUACCGGAUAGGAGCUCCUGCUGCAUGGUGGGGGUUGGAAAGUUUCGGCGGUUGGGGAUGGACUCGCGGCUUAUCAGCUUGUUGGUGGGGUAGUGGCUUACCAAGGCUUUGACGGGUAGCCGGCCUGAGAGGGUGACCGGCCACAUUGGGACUGAGAUACGGCACAGACUCCUACGGGAGGCAGCAAUGGGGAAUAUUGCACAAUGGGCGGAAGCCUGAUGCAGCAACGCCGCGUGCGGGAUGACGGCCUUCGGGUUGUAAACCGCUUUCGCCUGUGACGAAGCGUGAGUGACGGUAAUGGGUAAAGAAGCACCGGCUAACUACGUG